rnacentral:ncRNA from 1 species
UAAAAAAGAGGAAUUAUUUUAGAUAUAAAAUUUUAUCAAAAUAAAAUUUUAAAAGAUUUGAUUCAAGUCUAUUAAUUAAGUUUUUUUUUAAUUUAAAUGUAAAUUUAAGUAAGUGAAUUUUUUAGAAAAAAAUAAUUUGCAAUAAAUAAUAUUAAAUAUUAAAGAAAUUUAGAUUUAAUAAUAAAAAUUAAUAUUAACCAAAUUUGUGCCAGCAGUUGCGGUUACACAAAUAAUAUGACUUAAUUUUAUUAGUAGUAAUUAAUCGAUAAAGAAAAUUUUAAAUUAAAAUUUAUGAGGUGAAAUUCUAAAUUUUUAGAAAAUUAAUUAUUUAUGAUGAAGUUAGAAAAUUUAAAAAAUAAACUAGGAUUAGAUACCCUAUUAUUUUAAAUGUAAAUAUAAAUACUAAAUUAGUAGUAGUUAAGUUCUUGAAAAUUAAAGAUUUUGGCGGUAUUCUAGUCUAUUCAGAGGAACCUGUUCUGUAAUUGAUAAUCCACGAUUUAAAUUACUUUUUUUUUUAGUUUGUAUAUCGUCGUUGUUUGAAUAUUUUAAAUGAAUAUAAAUAUUCAAAAUUUUAAAUUAAAAAAGAAAUCAGAUCAAGGUGCAGCUUAUAAAAAAGUAGAAAUGGGUUACAAUAAAAAUAUUUAGGAAUUAUUAUUUGAAAAGUAAUAUGAAUUUGGAUUUGAAAGUAAAUUUAAUUAAUUAAUUAAAUUGAUUUUAGCUCUAGAAUAUGUACAUAUCGCCCGUCGCUUUCAUUUUAAAAUGAAAUAAGUCGUAACAAAGUAGAUUUACUGGAAAGUGAAUCUAGAAGCUC